rnacentral:rRNA from 1 species
CUACGGGUUGCAGCAGUGGGGAAUAUUGCACAAUGGAGGAAACUCUGAUGCAGCAACGCCGCGUGGAGGAUGACACUUUUCGGAGCGUAAACUCCUUUUAUAUAGGAAGAAGAUGACGGUACUAUAUGAAUAAGCGCCGGCUAGCUCCGUGCCAGCAGCCGCGGGUAAUACGGAGGGCGCAAGCGUUACUCGGAAUCACUGGGCGUAAAGAGCGUGUAGGCGGAUUAAAAAGUCAGAAGUGAAAUCCUAUAGCUUAACUAUAGAACUGCUUCUGAAACUCUUAAUCUAGAAUGUGGGAGAGGUAGAUGGAAUUGCUGGUGUAGGGGUAAAAUCCGUAGAGAUCAGAAGGAAUAUCGAUUGCGAAGGCGAUCUACUAGAACAUUAUUGACGCUGAGUCGCGAAAGCGUGGGGAGCAAACAGGAUUAGAUACCCCGGUAGUC